AUCUGGUUUGUUUCAGUUACAAGCGCCAGAAUCUGCUGUUUUCUAGUAGCGAGAAAACCGGACAAUGUGACUCUACAUCACAUAUACCAACAUUUAUAUUUAUUCCAUAAGACACAUACAUUAAAAUAUAGGACUCUUCAAAACGAGUUCCCAAGAAAGAGACAAUGCAAGUGUUGCCUAUUUGGGAGCUUUCCAUCCCUCUCCCAGCAGUGCUAUUGAUUACGGUGGGCCUUUACAUGAUCGUCCUGGGGAUCGGGCUGUGGAUCCGACACUGCCUCAAGGAUCGUUGUUCUUCAGAGUGUGGUGACUGCUGUCCAAACAUUUCCAUAAGUGAACAAUGCUAUAGAUUUGCAGAAAUGUGUGACUUUCACCUGCCAACCUUGCGCUCAUGUCGAGCCAUUUUGUGCUCUUCUCCUUCAUGUGCCAAAUGGGACUGUGCCUGCACCUGUCAGCCUCCUGAGUGUGAAUCCUGCAACUGCCUCUGCUUCGAGAUCAGGAUCAAGUAAAAGAAGGGGUUCGAGGUGCACUAAUGCCACUGUCAGCUGAUGCACUCCAGAUAAAGUUGUAGGUUUCUACAAGAAGAGGCGGAGACACAUGGAAGAGAAGAGGAGAUGGAAGAAGUUGAAGAAGGUGGAGUGAGCAGGAGCAUCCCCGCUGUUGGUGGUGGGGUUGGCUGCUGUGGUG